rnacentral:rRNA from 1 species
AUUGAACGCUGGCGGCAGGCCUAACACAUGCAAGUCGAACGGAGUGCUCAUGACGGAGGAUUCGUCCAACGGAUUGAGUUACUUAGUGGCGGACGGGUGAGUAACGCGUGAGGAACCUGCCUCAAAGAGGGGGACAACAGUUGGAAACGACUGCUAAUACCGCAUAAGCGCACAGUGCUGCAUGGCACAGUGUGAAAAACUCCGGUGGUAUGAGAUGGACCCGCGUCUGAUUAGCUAGUUGGUGGGGUAACGGCCUACCAAGGCGACGAUCAGUAGCCGGCCUGAGAGGGUGAACGGCCACAUUGGGACUGAGACACGGCCCAA